UCUCUCUCUCUCUCUAUUUGCUGAUGAUAUUGGAUGGCUAUUCUACUUAUAUUUAUCCCAAUUUGCAAAAUAUGUUUGCAGCUGUGGCACGGGACAAUGCCGAAUCCAUCCACAAAAUAGAUGAUCAGAUCUAAUAUCUGAUCCUUUUCGGAUCACAGAUAUUUAAUCAAAACGUAAGAACUAUAGAACUAAGAUUCAUCAUCUGUGAUGGCUUUAUAUUGUGGAAACAGACCGACCCAGAAAGCACUUAUAUUACUAACUAGGAAAUGCAAUUUCCGCUGUGUUCGAGAAACCAUGAAACAUAAAGCGAAGAAGAGUCAUAGGCAGUUUCAGUUAAAAUUCUAAUACAUUCCACGUAGGCUGAGAUGGCUUCUGACCAAAAAGACAUGGAAGUAGAGGUGGGCUGAGAUGGCUUCUGACCAAAAAGACAUGGAAGUAGAGGUGGGCACCUUCACGCUGAGAAACCUUUUGACCCAAAGGCAUGUCACCACUUCCCCUGUUUCAGAGAAUAUAUCAGAGAACAAUCACAAAGAAAAUUAAUUGUCUAUACAAGCAGAAGCAGAAAUCUCAACCAUGGACCAUCGAGUUUUAUAUGCCAAGCCCGGGGAUAAGGCAAAAAAAAUACUAUUUAUAUCUUAGUUGUGCCUGAUGAACAAUGCCCGAGCAGCUUUUGUAAGAACAAAGGAUUCAAAAACAUAACCAUCCUUGCAAUUUAUAUUCGCUGUAUGCAAGAUCAGAGGAUAGACAGAAAUAAGUCAAAUCGGCAAAUUAACUGAAAUCUAUGUCAUAUUUAACUAUUCCUUGCAAUUCAGAAGCUCAUUGCUCCAAAGGAGUAAUGUUUCAUAAUUUUCAACAAACACCAACAAAUAAAACUGGAGUGCAAAUAACAACACUAGUAGGAUUCUACUGACUGCAUCAAACCAACUGAUGCAGGAGUGCAGAUUACAACACAUCCACUAGGGUAAGGGUAAGCCUUAAGAAACCUAAUUGUGAGAAAACAUAGACCAAAAUCGACUGUGUGCACUCAAUCAAACUAACAGCACUAUGAAACAACAGUGAUGCCUUAAGCUCUUCAAUCAAACAAAAAUCAGAACCAAGACAACUUUUCCUAAUUUUUCCCUUUUUGUCAUUUGAUAAUCCUUCAACAUAUAACUAAACUAAAUCUUAUCAUACAAAGAAGUAUGCACUCCACCUACAUGCCAAACAAACAAAAUGGUAUUUCCAGAACCCAUGACUUAGGUUAUUCGAGGUAAAAAAACUAAUUAUACUGAACAAUAUCAGGAGAAUAUGGUCUUUCAGCACAAUCAACAACAAGAAAGGAUAGCACUCCACUUUUUGCAAGUAUUAUGAAAAUUAUACAGCUAUAACCUUUCAAGGUAAUAUAUGAAUCAUGCUAGCCAAUCAAACAAAUCAUCAAGAAAAGAAUUGAAAAAUCUGAA
rnacentral:lncRNA from 1 species